AAUAAAGUGGCCGAACAAAAAAGCGGUAGACUGUAAAUCUACUUAUGAGUGUUAAACUCCUUUAUUA
rnacentral:tRNA from 1 species